CGCGCGGGGCGCAGUGAGCAGCGUGGCGGUCGCGCAGUUCCACCAGUGCGCUACGUCAGGGCCUACGGACAAGAAAUUGGUGAAGGCAAGGGGUUUAAUGCCUAGAUCUGACCAUGCUACAGCUUUGCUCAAAAUUUUUUGCUGGUUACCUUUCACUACAAAACAAGUUCUGGGACUUCCCUGGUGGAACA